GCUCCUUGGGAUUAGGAGAACUGGGCAGGUCCUCCUAGGACCUUCCACAGCAAGAAGAUAUGCUAAAGGAUAUACUUCAGCAGAAGGAAUAGCAAACGGAGAAGAAAAGAAGAGGGAAAGGAAAUAAGAUAAAUCCAGAAACAGUGGCCAGGUUGUGUUACAGGCUUGUGAGCAACUGUCUGAUAAACAGCAUCUACUUGGCUCCACACCUGCCAGAAGCUACCUAAAUAGAUUACAUGGAUGGGCUGCAUUGUUCUCUGGCUUCAUGUUGAGUUUGACUGAGUGGACAUACCAGCAGAUUAAAGAACUUACUACGAAAAAAAUAAUCCUCGGUGCUUUGUCAUAGCUGUAAUCCCUGGAGCCUAGUAUACAACUUUCAACAAAACAGUCUACAGGACAGAAGAAGCCUGAGCACAGCAUGGCUGGGUCCUCUGUUCCAGGUGCUGACAAGGACAUCUGAAGCUUACGUUUCUCAUUCGAGCUCAUGUGGAGUAGCAGGGAUCCAUUCCUGUGGUUGCAGACAGAUCUCAGAAGUUGUGGGAGAAAUAGUAAACCCAAAGUUAUUUAAGAGCGAGCUUUUAGCUACCGACAUGAGUGGUGUUUGCUUCAGCCCCUGUAAGGACGCCCGUGCUACCAGAGUGCAGCAUUUCUGCAGAACAUUCCUUUCUGCAGUCAAUAAACAUGGAUGUGAUUGCAGACACCUCAGUACUUUUGGGAAAAUUUCCAUAUUACUUUUUGGAAUCUUUGGUUUACAAGAUAAUUCCCAAGAAGAAAAAGAAUGUUGCUGGAGAGAUUGUACUUACAACGGGAGCUGGAAGUGGACUUGGGAGGCAAUUGGCUAUAUAUUUUGCCAGGUUUGGAGCCAUUUUAGUUCUAUGGGAUGUUAAUCAAGAAGGCAAUAUGGAAACGUGUCGACUGGCCAAAGAAAAGGGUGGUAAGAAAGUGUUUCCCUACACGUGUGACUGUAGCAACAGACAAGAGGUCUACAGAGUUGCUGAUCAGGUAAGCUGACUGGUGUUCUCUGCUUCUGUUCCCAAAGAAAAUACUGCAUCUUGUAUGCACUUUUACAGAUAGAAGUUUGUCAUAAAUUUCCCUCAAGCUCUC
rnacentral:lncRNA from 1 species